UGCAAAUGAUGUCAUUUCUCACGAUGGUCUUCCAAGCCUGCCAGGUUCUGACGACACUGCCUAAUGGCAACACUGAUGCAGUCAA
rnacentral:snoRNA from 1 species